GUUUAACCGUCCUAAAGGGUUGUUCGAGACUAGAACGUUGAUAGGCAGGGUGUGUAAGCGUUGUGAGGCGUUGAGCUAACCUGUACUAAUUGCCCGUGAGGCUUAACCAUACAACACCCAAGGGGUUUUGUA
rnacentral:rRNA from 1 species